UCUUCGCAAAAACCCACUCUUUAGUGUUCAAUCAGAACAAACAUCAAUUCAGGUUUUCCACAGAUGGUUGUUUUCUCUGACUGAGCUUUAAAGAGCAGGUUUUUGUGUUGA